UACGUAGGUGGCGAGCGUUGUCCGGAAUUACUGGGUGUAAAGGGCGUGUAGGCGGGUUGGUAAGUCAGAUGUGAAAUUCCGAGGCUUAACUUCGGGGCUGCAUCUGAAACUAUCGAUCUUGAGUGCUGGAGAGGAAAGCGGAAUUCCUAGUGUAGCGGUGAAAUGCGUAGAUAUUAGGAGGAACACCAGUGGCGAAGGCGGCUUUCUGGACAGUAACUGACGCUGAGGCGCGAAAGCGUGGGGAG
rnacentral:rRNA from 1 species